UAGGGAAUCUUCCACAAUGGACGAAAGUCUGAUGGAGCAACGCCGCGUGAGUGAAGAAGGUUUUUCGGAUCGUAAAGCUCUGUUGUUGGUGAAGAAGGAUAGAGGCAGUAACUGGUCUUUAUUUGACGGUAAUCAACCAGAAAGUCACGGCUAACUACGUGCCAGCAGCCGCGGUAAUACGUAGGUGGCAAGCGUUGUCCGGAUU
rnacentral:rRNA from 1 species